GUAGGUGGCAAGCGUUGUCCGGAAUUAUUGGGCGUAUAGCGCGCGCAGGCGGUUCUUUAAGUCUGAUGUGAAAGCCCACGGCUCAACCGUGGAGGGUCAUUGGAAACUGGAGAACUUGAGUACAGAAGAGGAAAGCGGAAUUCCACGUGUAGCGGUGAAAUGCGUAGAGAUGUGGAGGAACACCAGUGGCGAAGGCGGCUUUCUGGUCUGUAACUGACGCUGAGGCGCGAAAGCGUGGGGGGAGCAAACAGGAUUAGAUACCCUGGUAGUCCACGCCGUAAACGAUGAGUGCUAAGUGUUAGGGGGUUUCCGCCCCCCCCUUAGUGCUGCAGCUAACGCAUUAAGCACUCCCGCCUGGGAGUACGGCCGCAAGGCUG
rnacentral:rRNA from 1 species